rnacentral:rRNA from 1 species
GACGAACGCUGGCGGCGUGCUUAACACAUGCCAGUCGAACGGAAAGGCCCUGCUUUUGUGGGGUGCUCGAGUGGCGAACGGGUGAGUAACACGUGAGUAACCUGCCCUUGACUUUGGGAUAACUUCAGGAAACUGGGGCUAAUACCGGAUAGGAGCUCCUGCUGCAUGGUGGGGGUUGGAAAGUUUCGGCGGUUGGGGAUGGACUCGCGGCUUAUCAGCUUGUUGGUGGGGUAGUGGCUUACCAAGGCUUUGACGGGUAGCCGGCAUGAGAGGGUGACCGGCCACAUUGGGACUGAGAUACGGCCCAGACUCCUACGGGAGGCAGCAGUGGGGAAUAUUGCACAAUGGGCGGAAGCCUGAUGCAGCAACGCCGCGUGCGGGAUGACGGCCUUCGGGUUGUAAACCGCUUUCGCCUGUGACGAAGCGUGAGUGACGGUAAUGGGUAAAGAAGCACCGGCUAACUACGUG